rnacentral:lncRNA from 1 species
UCGGGACAGUUCCCAUCGUCGUCUUUGGACGUGUCAAGUGGUGUAACAAUCACUGGCGGUAUUUGCUUACUAGUACUAGUAUAAUGCCCGUGCUAACGCUACGAUUCUUUAUAGGAAAUGCUUUUAAAAGAACCCAUUUGUUUCUGCAGAGUUUGUCGUUUACACUAUUUUUAUAAUUCCAGACAUAUUUACAUCCUCCCUAACUCAUUAACGAAAUAUUGGAUAUCUUCAGAGAUGUUGUCAUAACAUUAAUUUGCACGACACGCCUGCUAUAGGAAGAAGACUUCCCUUACAUUGCCUCACUAACGGUACCCAACCACUCAUAAAAGUCUGAAAGUUUUGAGCACAAACAUCAUAUCAGAGUCAAGUAACAUGAAUACCAUGUUAGACAACAUGUGUGUAUAUUUUUAAUGCAUAAAAAACAAAGAUCAAUAUAGAACAAAAUCUUGAAAUAAUGGCUUCAGUAUACAGACCUUCAGUCACCAGUUUAGGACGUCUCUGUAAACUAUAUUCUUUGUGCUCUUCCCUGUGGGAUCCAAGUCCUCUUUUGGUUUUGCGAGAAUUCUUGUUGAUGAUCUUGACACCCCUCUUGAUAAACCAAUAUAAAGUUGUCCGUGUGAGAACACGGGUUCUGGAAGAUAGAUUCCAACGUUAGGGAUGGUCUGUCCCUGUGAUUUAUUUAUUGUCAUGGCGAAACUCAACCUCAUAGGGAAUUGUUUUCUCUUGAACUUGAAAGGAAGAGAAAUAUCAUCCGAGGGAGACAAUGGUAGCCUUGGUAUAAAAACUCUCUUCCCUAUAUGCUGCCCACCAGUGAUCUCAACAUCAAUUGCAUUGUCUUGCAAUGCUCUGACCAUGAGCCUUGUGCCAUUGCACAAGCCAUUGUUGGGAUCAAGAUUACGAAGAAGAAUCACAGGACAGUUGGUUUUUAGCUUCAGCUCAUGCGGGGGGGAGACCAUUUGGAGUUAUUGAGUUCAAAAAAUCAAUAGGAAAAGUGAUUACUUGUGUCAUCAACAACGGUGUCAAAGCUGUGGUAAACCUUUUCCUCACCUGGAAACCUCUCAAUCAUGAUUGUAUUUAGCUUAUCAACAUGUUCAUUUUUAGUCGAUAGAAUAGCUCGUGAGCUCAUAUAGGCGGCUGAUGUUGCAUGUUCUUCGAGUGAUGGGAAAAUAUUAUCAAUUAGUUUGUUGACUGCCACCUCAUUGUCAGUAUAUCCAAUCACAAGCUCAUCAGGCAGUCGAACAUAAUCAUCUCCAAUUGUUUCCUCGGUUCCAUUGCCAAUUCGUAGCAGGUACUCGGAACACCAAGGGUCUGAGUGUGCCCUCAUGUUUUGAGACAAUCUUGUCUUCCUUAUAUUUGGCCACAAAUAGGAUCUUUGCAGACAUGUAUUAGUUACUUGUGCUCUUGACCCACGUGGCACUACAGGAAGGACCUGUCUGAAGUCUCCCCCAAAUACCAUGACUUUUCCUCCAAAUGGCAAAUCACACUCCAUGACAUCCUGUAGGGACCUAUCGAGACACUCGACGCACUGACGCUUGGUCAUGGCAACUUCAUCCCAGAUAAUCAAGGAUGCCCUACGAAGUAAUUCUGCAGUGGGACCUUGCUUUGAAAAGGUGCAAUUCUUGGUGUCAUCAAUUUUAAUUGGAAUUUUAAACCUCGAGUGUGCAGUGCGUCCUCCAGGCAAUAUUGAUGCUGCAAUACCUGAUGUUGCUGUUGCGAUAGCUAUUAAUCCUUUGGACCGCACUCUAGCAAGAAGUGCCUUAUAUAGAAAUGUCUUGCCCGUGCCUCCUGGACCAUCCACAAAAAAAACUUGACUCUUGUUGGAGAAGACAUGCUCAAUGAUUUCAUCAAACCCUUCUUUCUGCUCCUUGUUAAGAGAAUAAAAAAUGUCCAAGUGUUCUUGGGGUACGAAGACAUUUUGUUCCUCUCUAACCUCUCUCAUCAUGUCAAUGGAGCCUGAACCAACAUCAGUAAUAGGUGGCAGACCAUAUUUUUCUAUUUCUUUAUCAUCUUUACCCAUGGAGUGAAGCAUAUCUUGUAUGUCCCUUAGCACCAUUUGCUCCACCGCUGAACUGUUGUUGAUGUCACGGCUAAAGUCCUCGCCUAGAGCGUCCUUAUGCUUGUCCCAUAGACCACGUAUGUUAGUGGACUCGCAGAACACAAUAAUUGUAGCAAACAACCUCCGCAAGGCACAUGGCAUCUGGAAAGUGGUGGCCUCACUAAGGCAGUCAUCAAUAAGAGUGUCAGUCUCAAUAAGACCUCUUUUCUCACAUGCUUCCCUAAAAGUAGCGUAAGUUACACCCGCCAUUGUUCUCAAAUCCUCAAAUGAUGUUGCACCUCUCACAUGAUUUAGUAGAACUCUUAGGAAGUACCUCUCCCCUUCGGCAGGGUUAGCAUAGACAAUCCGUCCUAUUUGUGCUGACGCUUGUUUCCUUCCUUGCCAUAAUUUUUUCCCUGAGAUCCACCGAUAGUGUUCUGGAAACUCUCUAUACAAUAUUUUCCUUGCUGCCCGUUCUUCAUGGUUUUUACUAAAGUACUCUGUUAGUGUUGUUCUAUUUGAACAUGGGCACCUCACAACAUCUUCCAGGUUGUCAUCAUCAUUGUACGUCACGGACUGCAUAUCAGGCAAAUGUAGCUGGAGCUGCAACACUGAGGGAUAAACUCCAAACAUUGGAAAUCUAAAUAUCCUGUACACAGCUUCAGGUGGAGUUAUGUACCUAGCAUUCCUAUAUUGUUUUAUCUCAUUGAUGACGCCAUCAUCUGUUUCAUUUUGGUCUGCAUUUACUGAGAAUGAUGCUUGGUCGUGGCCUUUAUAUACAUACUUAAAUAGAUACUUCACUGCUUUAAUGCUUGAGCAUGCCUCAACAUUUAUGUGACAAUUGUAUCUAAAGAGCAGACCAGGAUUGUACGGUACCACCCAUCUGUUAUCUAAUUCAGCUUUCCUAAUCUUGACUCGACGUCCAUCAUACCUUCUCCUAUAGGUUGGAUAGGAGUCAUUUCCUUGUUUAGUUGCCUCGUUGAACUUUCGAGGGAACUGAAAGCAGCACUGUCCAUUCACCAUGCAUGGGCAAUACUUGUUUAGAUUGCCACAUGGUCCAUGUAGCAUAUGGCUUAUAACCAGAUCAUGCAACUCUGGGAAUUUGUCCUUGUCUGGUAUCUCUGCUGAAAUAACUCGAUCAUAUGCAUCUGGGGUUGUCAAUUUACUCCCUGACUUCAUGAUCAGUAGAAAAUGCUCAUGUGGUAGACCCCUUUUUUGGAACUCGGUAACAUGGACGUACGCAGCAACCUCACCAAAAUACUUCCUCUUGAUGAGAAGGUCCUUAAGAUCUCGCAACUUUGCCCUGUACACUCUUGCAACCAGUUCUGGCCUAUCUUGUGGUUCCUGUCCUGGCUCAAGAUUACUCGUGAUCUCUUCCCAGUAUGGAUUGCAUGUCAUGGUGAUGAAGCAAUUAGGCUUGCCAAAACGCUGCACAAUAGCCAUAGCAUUAAGGAAUCUUUGUUGCAUGUCUCGAUCACAUCCUGGGAAUGAUCUUGGUAGCACAAUUCUUUUGCCAACCUUAGAACCCCGCGUCUCUCCAACUGAGAUAACAUCAACCAGUCCCUAUAUAAGCAUGCGUCAUAUAUUAUGAUUGGUAGAAACAAGACUAAAAUUUUCAUAUUAAACAAAUCAAGAAGCAUAAACAAUUAGGUAGAAUUGGCUACCCGGUAUAGCUCUGCCCGUAUUAGUUUUUGGUUCUCGGGUUUCGAGUACCAAUCUAGCCUCAUAGACUCAAUCUUUACGUACAUAUCCACGGCCCACUGCUGAAAAAGACGUCCUCCAAACAAUAUGAUGUUGAAAAUUCCCCGUCUAACUUGCAUCUUGAAGCAGUAAUAUUCUCUUGCAGUUACAAAUUUUUGUGCUCCAUCUGCAACUCCACCUAGCACAUCACCUCCUUGUACGUCAUUAUCACCUUCUUCCACCUGAUUGUCGUCAUUAUUAUCAACUGCACGAUAGAUAGAAUGUUACAUUAGGCUAUUAUAGCAUUAGUUUAGUAGUACCAAUAUUAUAGCAUAGAAUAUUAUAUAUAUUUACAAUAUACCUUGAUAACCACCACUAGAUGGUAGGGUUGCAGAUGGUGGGUUGGCAUUAUUAGUAGAAGACAUGGCUGCAGAUGGUGGAGUGAAUGGAGCAUCACUGUACGGCAUAAACUUGUUCCAUCCUGUUUCUCCUCGUGGACUAUACAUAGGAUAACCUAAUGGGUCAUAACAACCAUGCCAUGCUUUGAUAUACUGCCGACGCUGAUCAGUCUUUCCAAAUACAAUCACACUCCUAUCAAAACAUCUUUGUGGAUCAUUCCCGUCCAUCCAGAUAGCAGCCACCUGGGAUGUUGUUGGUGCAUUGUACCUUCUUUGGUCAGGUGUGACAUUUGUAUUGAGUUCAACCCGAUAGUCAUCCAAAUCUGGGAAUUCACCAUUUCUCCUAAAAGUGUGAACGUAUGGGUUUUCCUGUAAAACUGUAAGAAUUUUUCUGAUGAUGUUGAUAUCAAGAUCAGGGGACCUUUUGACUCUCUUUGACAAGUCUGCAUCCUCUGUAUCAUAAAAGUAGAGUUGUAGGUGCCGAGCGUUGUCACCACCUGGCACCAAGUGGUCAAGACGGUGGUACAAGCCACCAUGAAUUCAAAAUGUAUAAGUACCAGUUCUUUUGGGACUGUUAAAUUCACGAUCAAUGGUGACCCCUAGACUGGUAAAGGAGAAAUGCAAGUUGAUAUAACGAAUAUGUUUCCUAAAAUAUUUUGCAUCUGCGUCCACCUGACUUGUGAAUAAACUUUUUAGCUCUUCAGGAACCUCUGGUAUAACUAUUUGUACCUUUCCUUUUCUACAACAAAACCCCGGUGUCUCAUACUAAAACCUCAUCGCUCCACAGUAACUACAGUUAGGAACAGGCCUCAAUUUAUGUCUCUCCAGCAGAUUCUGGUAGAUAAAGUCAUAUGGAUCCGCAUCCGACACAUUAGUUCUAGCUGGAUUCUCUAGCACCACACGAUAUGACUCAUAUUGACAACCUGCUUAGACAUGGCAAUGAUCAUUUUAAUUAAACUCUACAAAAAUAAAUUUAACAUCUGCACAAUAAAUAAACAUGUUGCAUGAAAUGAAGCUUUACCUUGCGGGGGUCGUUGAAUGACUCCAUCAUCAUCAUUAUCAUUUUCAUCAAUUUGCAAUCUAUGGCCAGUGUCCAUGGCAUCUUCAUCACCGUCCCAACAAUCAUGUGUCGGUUCAAAGAGUUCACGAUCAAUUUCAUCUUCAUUGUCUUGGACAUGUACACGGGUUCCGUGUAGUUCAGAUAAAUGUGUUUCUGCAUUUUUUAUAUUCAGUAGUAAGUAUUUUAUAUUUAUGAAGUUAGUUUUUUGGCAAUUAAAAUAGACAAAAAAGGAUGUGGUGGAUGUGCUAACCUGGCUCAUUCGGAGUGUGUAAUGUUCACGAAAGAUACGUACGUGGGCCUCUCCGAACUGGAACAUAACUAUCAUUUGUGUGUAGCCAAUCUGCGCGAUCCCUAGUCUCAUCAUUUUCCAUUAUUGUUGACAAUCCAGUUCCCAAAUUCACACCUUCACAUAUCAUGAAUAUUAGUAGAGGUUCGUGAUAUACAACGUGAUGGGUGAAUAUAUGAAGCGAUGGUUGAAAUGCAUCAUUAAGGGAUAAGGGAUCAUAACAUUUUACCUGUGGGCAAGGACGGCUCGACAAUUAUUAUGUCACUGUCUUGGUUGGCAAUAGACGUGGUGCUAUUAUUUUGCAAUUCAACCUUCUUUCGUGCUCGAUCUUGACGUUGGUACUCAGCAUUCCUCCUUCUCUUCUCUUCUAACUGCUCGUUUGUCAUCUCAGCUCUUCUCUUUCGUUGCUGCGCGUUCCUUCUGUCCAUCGUUGUGUUACCAAUAUCUGUGUAGGGUACCAUUUGUGAGGUCAGUCAUUAUUGUGCAGAGAUUACACCAAAUAUUAAAAAAUAGAUAAGACAGAUGAAGUUUAUAUAUUUGAUAGUUACCGCUGUCCAAAGGCAGACUACUUUCUAUCGUGGUUCCUAUGAGCAGGCCACUAUGGCUAUGAUUAACAUCUGUAGUUGGUUCAAUAUUAUCCUCGUUCACUAUAAUUGGUGAAUUUUGGUCCACCCCAAAACGAUGAGUACCUGCAUUAUAUUUGUUACAGUAAAGAUAAAAAUAAGGUGGCAUUUUCACAUUAUGUAGCUGAUAUUUACCGUUGGCCACUUUUUCUGCAGUUGGUUGGAUAUUUUCCUUGUUCAAAAGAAGUGGAAAGUUUUGGUCCAUUGUAACAUGAUUAGUACCUGCCUCAUAGUGAUUAGUUCCGGUCAUGAUGAUUUGACUAUAUAAAUUCUGACUAAAAAUAUAAAUUGUACCAGGUGUAGUGAAAGAACAAAUAGCACUACUGUUUUGGAAUUCUGCCUUCUUCCUUUCUCGAUAACGACGCUGGUACUCACGUUGUUUUCUUCUCGCCUCCUCCCUUUGUUCGUCGGACCUCUCUGCUCGACGAACUGUUGCCGCAAGUUUUGUUCUUCCCUCGUCCAUCGGGCGUCAUCUAUAUAUAGUAGAAAAUAAAUAUAAGACACCCCUAAAGUAUUAUACGUAUACUCAGUUUGAAAUCAUACCUGUGAUGUUAGUGAUGUCACUUAGUGCAUUGGGCGUAUCUCUUGGCGUAGACAUCGAGUUGGUGAUGAGGCAGGAACUUUGUUUUUCUGAAGUAUCGUUGAUAUUGAUCUAUUCAGAAAUUACCACUGAAACAACACAAGCCAAUUAGCUACAGGGUCCUAGUGCAUGCAGAUUUGAUUAAUACCAUAGUUUCUUCAGUAUUUAAAAAAAAAACCAGUGAACUCGCGACAAAUUUUCAUGUUACUUAUUCUCAGCUAUACUAAUAUCCAUUCAUCUACGGUUUACAGAGUAUCACUGAAUAACCUGGGAAGACAGGGACAAUAGCUAUCUAGCCCAAGGAGCUGAUUCAUUCAAACAGUUUGCCUAUUAGUAGAGAUAAUGCAGAAAAUGAUUAACCAUUUGUUUGCGCUCAGUGGGUAAUGCUAACUUGUGCAAAUUUACCUAAAACAUUUGUUUUAUGAAGCGAAAAUCAUUCGAUAUGGAGAGUUAGAAAGUUUCAAUUGCAAGAAAUUUGUUUCCUGCAGCAAGACACUGUAAUUUUUCAAGGUAUUUUUUUUCAAUCAAAUAAAACAGUGACCAUGUAAUAAUGUACUGUUAUUACUUGCAUCACUAUUUUAUAUAAAUAAAUCGUCCAUGCAUCCGUACUUUAAAUAAUUAUACAAGCCUAUACAAACUGUAGAGGUGGAAACAAAUGAAAGAUACGUACGGGCAAAGUUAUUUUUGUCGAGAGCAGACAAUUUCUUCUUCCUCUAGAUGGCAUUCAAAGGUUAGCAGCUUUCAUCUAUAGCAGAUUAUUAGGGCAAGGGGCAGCGAUUACAGAAGGAAGUCAUGGCAUAAUCGAGGUACGGCAGCUGCACGAGCUCAGGCGUGCAUCCUCACGAGGCUAAUGAGCAAUUUUUUUUAGAUGAAUGACAUAUUUUAUAAUUUCACAGAAUAAAUAUACAAUAGAUGAUUGUAUAGCUACUAAUACACUUUUAUUAGUUACUGCAGAAAUAUGUCAUAUUCAGCUACAUAUAGGUUGGGUGUAUACAUGUAUAUAUCAAGGAAGCCAAUGACAAUUGGGUGUGCCUCUCUAUGUGCUACAGGACCAUGCACGUUGAGCAAUUGUAUACAUGUAUAUAGCAAGGAAGCCAAUGACAAUUGUAUGUGCACUCGUAUACGUCUGGACAUGAAUGGAGCAAUGAACGCCCGUCGGACAGGUUACACACAUGCAGCAGGGGCAAGCGAAUAAAACAUAGAUGGAGCUAUAGAUCGAUGAACAUAUAUAUACAUAUACAUGGAUGUAUAUCUACCUGCGCAGGGCUGGCAGCCGCCGAUCUGGCGGUCCGGCCUCCUGCCUGCCUCCGCGUCGUCGUGGACCACGUAGACGGCGGCGGCGCCGGCGUCACGUCGAGCGAGCACAAGGGCACGAGGACGUGGAUGUUGUAGUAGUUGCUCUCCACGACCUUCUCCAGUUCCCACGACCUUCUCCAGUUCUCCUUGAAGGCGAUCACGGUGGAGACGGCAGCGCCAGCACCGUGCCGAGGUCUCCGACUCGACGUGCCUCCCGAGCACAAGGAGAUUCUUCUUGGUGAACUGGAACGUGGCGACCACGACUUCAAGGUGGCGACGGAGGUCCCAGCCGUCGAGGCGCUCGUUGUCGGCAGUUUGUACCGAGCACUCGGUGGUCGCGCAAGAACGCCUCACGCACGGAGCCCAGCGACGUCACGCACGAAGCCGCGGUCGAACAGCAGGAGUUCCUCCAGGCACGGGUGUAGGCGUCGUAGAGCCGGCGGCUAGGGUAGGCGGGCACAUCGGCAACAAAUGACGCCCUAUUGGGUCUUGCAUGGAAUUGUUCUCCACACGGAUGUAAUAUCCUUUCAUCUAUUGCGCCUGAGUGGUAAUCAACGUUGGUUAUUUCCUUGUUGUUCCUACAUGCAAUCUCCUUCCAUCUAUUGCGUCUGAUGGACAUCUUCCAUCUAUUGCAUUUGCAUGCAAUCUUGGACGCUGGGGAUGUCAUUGCCGGUGAUUACCUUCCUUUGAUUUGCCGGUGAUUGAUGAGGCGAAAUUUUUGUGGAUUAGAAAAGGGCGUGGGUGAGGGAGAGUGGGAAGCCUCAUCAAACUUUUAAUCUCAGCCGUUGCGUUGCAUCUGUAGUAAGUAGGCUAAGAGUCGUUGAUUUUGAAGAAAGGAUUUGGCUUGGAGAAAUUUUCAAUUAUAGUAGAGACUAGCCCUAGCCCAACUUACGCACUGACAGUGUGGCGCUUAUGCGCGAUCCCGGACCCUUAUUAAUCAAAUGCACCCGCACGUGAGAGAGAUGAGAGAUCUCACCAUCAGAUUGAAUAUAUAUAGACUAUUUUUUGAGUGAGGGAGGACAGGCAUAAUCACGCAACAAAUCUCAAUUUUUUUAUCUCACAAUCCCUGCUAGAUAAUUGGUUUCCGCUCCUGCACUGAUUCAGAUCAACGAGUUAAC